rnacentral:rRNA from 1 species
GUAGGGAAUAUUAGAAAUGGACGAAAGUCUGAUCUAGCAACACCGCGUGUGCGAAGAAGGCCUUCGGGUUGUAAAGCACUUUUUGGAAGGAUUAGGAAGGAAUGUACUUCCAGAAUAAGUCUCGGCUAACUACGUGCCAGCAGCCGCGGUAACACGUAGGAGGCAAACGUUAUCCGGAUUUACUGGGCGUAAAGCGCGUGUAGGUGGUUCUGUAAGUAGGGCGUGAAAGCUCCUGGCUCAACUGGGAGAGGCCGUUCUAAACUGCAGAGCUAGAGGAUGGUAGAGGGAGGUGGAAUUCCGGGUGUAGCGGUGGAAUGCGCAGAUAUCCGGAGGAACACCAGUGGCGAAAGCGGCCUGCUGGACAUUAACUGACGCUGAGGCGCGAAAGCGUGGGGAGCAAACAGGAUUAGAAACCCGAGUAGUCC